UGUAGGAUUCAACUCCAUUACGCUUAAGCACAGAGGCUUCACUGUACUCAUCUAUGACCUAGGUGGCAGUUCACAGAUCAGAGGCAUCUGGCACAGGUAUUUUGUUGAUGUCCAUGGAAUCAUCUUUGUUGUCGAUGCCAGUGAUCUGUUGAGAAUUGAUGAGAGCAGAAAAAGUGCUCGAGGAACUGUUUGGCUCACGAUAAACUUGCUGGGAAGCCCUUGUUGUUACUGGCAAACAAACAAGACCGGGAGGGUGCUCUGGACGAGAUUGACAUCGUGGAAAGGCUAAAUGUGGAAAGCUUAGUGAACCAGCAGAAGUGUCCUACGCUGGUGGAGACAUGCUCUGCUGCUGGCGCCCCUGGUGGCCACAAGCCACACCUUGACAGCGGCAU